UGCCUCCUACGGGGCGCAGCAGUGGGGGAUAUUGCACAAUGGGGGAAACCCUGAUGCAGCGACGCCGCGUGAGCGAAGAAGUAUUUCGGUAUGUAAAGCUCUAUCAGCAGGGAAGAAAAAAGACGGUACCUGACUAAGAAGCCCCGGCUAACCACGUGCCAGCAGCCGCGGUAAUACGUAGGGGGCAAGCGUUAUCCGGAUUUACUGGGUGUAAAGGGAGCGUAGACGGCAAUACAAGUCGGAAGUGAAAUACCCGGGCUCAACCUGGGAACUGCUUUGGAAACUGUAUGGCUAGAGUGAUGGAG
rnacentral:rRNA from 1 species